UGCCAGCCGCCGCGGUAAUACGGGGGGUGCAAGCGUUAAUCGGAAUUACUGGGCGUAAAGCAUGCGUAGGCGGUUUAUUAAGUCAGAUGUGAAAGCCCCGGGCUUAACCUGGGAACUGCAUUUGAAACUGGUAAACUAGAGUAUGGUAGAGGAAAGUGGAAUUUCUGGUGUAGCGGUGAAAUGCGUAGAUAUCAGAAGGAACAUCAAUGGCGAAGGCAGCUUUCUGGACCAAUACUGACGCUCAUGGACGAAAGCGUGGAGAGCGAACAGGAUUAGAUA
rnacentral:rRNA from 1 species